CCUACGUGCCUGUGCCUACCUACGUGCCGCGCCUAUCUACGUGUCCUGCAUCUACCUGCGCGUCCGGCAUCUACUAGCGCGCUGCACACUUACCCCGCCUGACCGCUGCCGAGCUGCCUGACUAUACAGGGUAGUAGUGUUCUAUAGCGGGCCAGAACUUAACGCGAGCUCGAUUAUUCUAAACCCACUCCCGGCUCUGCCGAUCUUUUUGUAGAAUAAACUUAUAUACUAAUUUACUAAAUUCCUUUUUAUUUUUCUACCUACUAGGGUACCUACCACUAAACCCAAACGUUACAGUGGCGCCCAAUAAAGGUAGAAUAUAUCGAGCCGUGUUUAGUUCUUGUUUGCUAAGCAUUUUGUAGUUGUCCUGGUGUUGGUUGUCUGGCAGUUGUGUUGAAUUUAAUCACAGCCUGCCAAAUGUGAAUCUACCCACAUCUUUUUAAUAAUUAUUUUUUUCUAAUAUUUAAAUUCAACCGUCCAUUUUUUUGUUUGACCUACCGUCAAUAUUUUUCUACCGCCAAUUUUUAUUUUUUCUUCACAUUUAAAUUCAAAGUUAACAUACCUUAAAAAAUAUAUUUUCACAUAUGGUUAGACUGACCACAAACGUGCUGAUUUUGCAUCUUUAUUAUUUUUGUCAUUGUUUUGCAACACACUCCUAACUGCGGUUUUAAUUUUCAAUUAUGUCGUACCCUAUUAAGUUUUUAUCGCUACAAAAAGCUGAACUAGACUAUGAAGUUGCUGUUCGUGAUGGUACUGGAGGAGAUUUGGUUAGCGAACUUCAGAAACAGAUAUCUAGUUAAAUUAUCUUCUAUAGUACAAAUAACAAACUUAUAAUUUUACUUUAUAAUUUAACUUAUUCCAAACACUAUAAUCACUACACUAAACCUAAAUUUACUUUUAAUAGAACCCCACAAGACAGUCACAAUUUACACGUUAAUAAAAUGGUACAUAAAGUAUUUUAAACUAUUGAAUUAAUUAACUAUAAAGUAUAACUUAAACUAAUUUUAACAAAAUGUUACUACGGCUAGGUUAAUACUUAAACUUCGUUGAUUAUAGCUAAAUAUAUUUAAUUUUAAACAAAUUUUUAAAAAAUCACCUUAAACUAAAUGCACUUAUAUAUAAAAUAAACUAUACUAAAUAAUAAAAACUAAACUUAAUAAUAUAAACUAAUAAACUACAAAGAAUAAAUUAUUAGUUCAACUUAAAUUCUAUAACUGUAAUUAAAAUUAUAUAACAAAUUUGAAAAAAACAACUAAAACUAAAUGCACUAAAUGUAACUUAAACAAAUACAUAAUGUUAACUAAAAACUAAACUAAAUAAUGUAAAGUACCCACUUACUACUACUACCCAUAACUAUUGCUUUUCUAUUUUUCAAUUAUUGGUCUACCCCAAUAGUUUAUAUGAUGAUGGUCUACCCCAUACAUCGUAUUCCUACCAUAUUAAAUAUAUUAUGACUAUCGGCCCUACACCGAUGGUUAUAAACGAACUUGAUCGUGGUUCUACCCCAUAGAUCCCUUCUGUAUGCUAAAGGCCCUACACCUUUGGUAUUCUACGGAGCGGUGCAACUCCUUAAAUAAGCCUUUGCAAGAGCGGUUGAUUACUCUAUAAGUAAGCCUUAAAAUCACAAAUAUAACUUAUGUAUUUAUCCUUUCUAAUAUUCAAUCUAUCAAUUAAUAGUUAUGUGUAGUUAGUAAUCGCUCGGUUUCAGCUUUAUCCUCUACCAGCCAUGACUGAACUGGGUGAGUGUUCUGUGCACUGUAAGCAGAAUACUCAGGUCGAAAGGACGCUGACGCACAGAUGUCUAUAAAUGUGAUGUCGGCUAUUUAAUGUAAGGAAGAAUGAAAAGUGAGGGAUGAUUACAUUAUGAAUGAAGACGAAUGAAAGAGAAACUCAGAUCAGUUGUUAGCAAGAGCGAAAGCAGCGGAUUUUUCCUAGGAAAAAUCCUACGCUAAAAAGGGGGGUACUGUAACGUUGUACGUUAUAUUUUGAAUAUUUAAAAAUACUAGACUUGCUAUAUCUCGGCCGCGCGCCGCGAGCCGUGAGCCGUUGACGGGUGACGGAAACCGGUUCGGCGAACUAUCCCUCCUAUGAGGCGACGCGAGCAGAGCCGGCGGUCAAUCGCGAGACGGUCACUAGCACGACGCCGCGAGCCGAUACAGUCUACUACUACUACUGGUCUAUGUACAUUUUUAACUCGCGAUUUUAUUGCAAAUAAUUUAACCGUUAAUAAACUAUUGUGCUUUUAAAAUAACUUUUAAAGUCAGUGUAUACCCCAGAUCGGGGUUCAAGUAACUGACUACCUCCAGUGCACCUACCGUAGUGCACCUACCCUAAGUGCACCUACCUACGCGCUUGUCUACCUACGUGCCUGUGUCUACCUACGUGCCUGUGUCUACCUACGUGCCUGUGCCUACCUACGUGCCGCGCCUAUCUACGUGUCCUGCAUCUACCUGCGCGUCCGGCAUCUACUAGCGCGCUGCACACUUACCCCGCCUGACCGCUGCCGAGCUGCCUGACUAUACAGGGUAGUAGUGUUCUAUAGCGGGCCAGAACUUAACGCGAGCUCGAUUAUUCUAAACCCACUCCCGGCUCUGCCGAUCUUUUUGUAGAAUAAACUUAUAUACUAAUUUACUAA
rnacentral:lncRNA from 1 species